rnacentral:rRNA from 1 species
UUUAUUGAGAGUUUGAUCCUGGCUCAGGACGAACGCUGGCGGCGUGCUUAACACAUGCAAGUCGAGCGAUGAAGUUCCUUCGGGAACGGAUUAGCGGCGGACGGGUGAGUAACACGUGGGUAACCUGCCUCAUAG